AUCUAAGAGAUUAGACGUUCCCUCUCGUGGACAUGGAUACAGGUGGUGCAUGGUUGUCGUCAGCUCGUGUCGUGAGAUGUUGGGUUAAGUCCCGCAACGAGCGCAACCCUUAUUAUCAGUUGCCAGCAUUAAGUUGGGCACUCUGGUGAGACUGCCGGUGACAAACCGGAGGAAGGUGGGGAUGACGUCAAAUCAUCAUGCCCCUAUAUGACCUGGGCUACACACGUGUUACAUUGGAUGGUCCAACUAGUUACGAACUCUCGAGAAUAAGCUAAUCUCUUAAAGCCAUUUUCAGUUCGGAUUGUAAGCUGCUACUCUCCAUAUAUAAAUUCGGAAUUAGCCAUAUUAUUGCGGAUUAGCUUGCAGCGGCUAAAUAAUUAUCCGUGUCUUAGUAUAAACCGAAUUCCAAUUUCUAAUCGGCUAUCAUGU
rnacentral:rRNA from 1 species